GGCAGCAACAACGACAUAGGCAGCAGCAAGUGAAGCAACCCAUUCAAGGCGAUGGAAACACUGAUUCAGAGAUAAACAGGUUGGAAGCUACCCAGACAGAAUAUAAAGUGUUGUUCCUCCAACCUGAGUGUGGCUUCAUCUCAACAGUAGAGGAGGCCAUGGAUUGAUGUACCAGAAUAAGAAUGGGAUGUGGAAUUAAAAUGUGUGGCCACUGGGAGAUCCUGCUUGAGUCCAGAGGCCUUCGACAGCUGUCUUGAUGUCUCAGUCUCCCGCAACGUUUCAAUCAGCGACAUCAGCGAGGAAUUGAAUUGAGUUCAUCUCAGGGGAAAUCAUGAACAUCAAGAAAUCUUCCUAUCCAGAUGCAUCACUGGUACAGAAACUGCUCUAUGCAUGACUGUGAGGAGCUACAGAAGGUUUUGUACAUGGCUCAGAACAUCAUGGAAAUCAGCCUCCCCUCCAUGAACUUCUGCUCACUGAUGCGGUCUUUCAUAGAUUCUAUUAUGGUUAUUAUUCUAUUAAGGAUUUAUUGAGUGUGCUCACAAGGAAAUGAAUAUCAGAGUUGUAUAUGAUGACAUAUAAGUACUUUGAUAGUAAAAUUAUUUUGAACUUCGACUCUGUCUACACCUCACUGCCUUGGUAAAGUAGCCAGCAGAAUCAAAUCCUUACCAGGAUGCUGCCUGGAUUAAGAGAGUAUUCAUUAUGAUCAGAGAUUAAGGGAGCUAGGGCUUUACAUUCUGAAAUUGUUUUUUCUUGACCAGCCUCAAUGCACUGUUGUAAUUAAUUAAUCUAUAUGAGUUGUAUGAAGAUAAGCUUUUCAUUGUACCUUGGUACAUAUGACAAUAAUAAACUAAUUUACUAAGUUUACAAUUUACUACCCCGUUGUCUCCAAAAAAAAUUAACAAACUCAUAUUAACAAUAUAAUUCUCCAUGUGCAUAUUGCUAUAUCAUCAAUGAACAUCUACAUAUGAACAUGAAUAUACAGCACUCUAGCCGAGUGUGUAGUGGCAUUCGCAUCGAACUUUGAGGUGAUUGGUCCUGGGUGUAAAUCCAGCUAGUUCCCUGUUUUCCAUCCGUGCUGGGUUAAGCAUCAUGCUAGCAACUCGGCCUCAUUAAAAAAAAACAGACAAAAGUGCUAAUCAAGCCACAAGGUUGCCACCCGAUGCACCACAAGCCUCGGAAAUGUACAACAAUGAAUACAGUGGAUUCUGGUUAAUUGGCACAUUUGGCUAAAUUAAGCGGCUAUCCUAAUCAGCCAAAAUUUCAUGGAAAUAGUUUAAAAAAAGACAAACUACAAUUUAAAUGAAAUACAGAAUAAAUUAGAAUACAUUUUCAUAUGAUUUGAUUUAUUACUUUUCCAGUAACUUUCUCAAAACAUUGGAUUUGAUCAGAAAGUUUCACUCUCAGUAUGAACUGCCCAGUUCCUUUUUUUCUUUUUUAUGUAUAUAAAAAUUAUAAAAGUUUCUUUACCUUUUUUCUUUUCAUGGAAUGAUAAGAGGAGAAUCGAUUAUCUUAUUUUUUAGCCAUAUAACCAUAUAACAAUUACACCAUGGAAACAGGCCAUCUCAGCCCUUCUAGUCUGUGCUGAACGCUUACUCUCACCUAGUCCCACUGACCCGCACUCAGCCCAUAACCCUCCAUUCCUUUCCUUUCCAUAUACCUAUCCAAUUUUGCUUUAAAUGACAAUAUCGAACCUGCCUCUACCACUUCUACUGGAAGCUCAUUCCACACAGGUACCACUCUUCGAGUAAAGAAACUCCCCUUCUUG